UAAAUGAUGCUUCACUACGGACUUUAUUUUAUGAAGCUAUGACCAUAGUUAACAGUCGCCCGCUGACUGUAGACAACCUUAACAACCCUGACAGCUUGGAACCACUUACCCCUAACCACCUGCUUCACAUGAAAUCCAGCACAACUCUGCCCCCACCUGGUACCUUUCCAAAGGAGGACCUCUAUGGAGCAAAGAGAUGGCGUCGUGUGCAGUUUUUGACUGAACAGUUUUGGUGCAGGUGGAGGCGUGAAUAUUUGCACAACAUUAUUGCUAGGCAGCGCUGGCACUUACCAAAAAGGAAUAUAACAGAAGGUGACAUUGUGUUGGACAUUGAUGAACUGUCACCCAGAGGUGAAUGGAAACUUGCCAGAGUCCUGGAGACUGUUAAAGGCAAGGACGGACUCGUGAGACGAGUGAAAAUCUCCGUUGGAGAUAAAAAACUGAAUAACAAGGGUCAACGCAGUAGUAAGCUUUCUAUUGUGGAGCGUCCUGUGCAAAAGUUAAUUCUGAUAUUAGAAUGUUCAUAAACUAAUUAGGAGAAAUGGUUAUUUGUUGUUGAAAAUUCUCCGUCGUGGUUAUACUGAUAUAACAAAACGCAUAAUUUUGUGGGAGUGUAAAUAACCAUCAGUAUAUUUUGUAGGAAAUGUGUUUGUCUUUUAUUUUUUGAAAUUCUAAAGUGCAAUGUUUUGACUUCGGGUGUUAAGCUUCGCGCUUUGUGUUUAGGUUCGAGUGGAGCGCGCGCUCGGGUUAGUGCAGUUUUAGUAUAACGAUAGCGUUCAUCGACACUGGAUGUUAUAAUAUAUGUGUAAUUCAUGCUUGCAGCCCCUCAGAAGAGGCAAAAGCUCUUACGUUGGUGAUAUGGUGAACGGAAAAGGUUUAACAAAGGAUUAAAGCAUCAUAAAACCAUCA